AAAAACCACCGUUGUUAUUCAACUAUAGAAACCCCUA
rnacentral:tRNA from 1 species